CAUUAGGCGCGUGCGUGCGUGCGUGUUGGUAGAGAGGGGAUUCAGUUCAGGCAUGGCACAAAUUACACUCUUCAAUCUCUCUGUCUGGACUGGGUGGGAUCCGUGAUUUCAACAGAACUAGACUUCACAGCUAUGGAUCCUGACGACAUGGACGAAGAUCAACUGCUUGAUUACGCUAUUCAGAUGAGCAUUCAAGAGUCAUGCCCCAAAUAUUAUUAUCAUCUUUAGAGAGUGAUGAACAUCUGAAGAUCCUAAAGGCUAUUGAUCGAGGCUCAUCCUGACAUGACCCUCCAGCAUGACAAAGCCACCAGCCAUACUGCUCGUUCUGUGCGUGAUUUCCUGCAAGACAGGAAUAUCAGUGUUCUGCCAUGGCCAGUGAAGAGCCCGGAUCUCAAUCCCAUUGAGCACGCCUGGGACCUGUUGGAUCGGAGGGUGAGGGCUAGG
rnacentral:lncRNA from 1 species